UGGAGCUCGAGGGGCAGCCAGCGCCGGCCUCGUCGGCGACCAUGUCGGACGGAAGCCGCACAGGGUGGCCUCCUUCCGCGUCCCCUCAAUCCUGCAGGCCGCCCAAACUCGCUGUUCCCAGCCACAAGCACGGCGGCUUCCUCUGCCCCGACCACCGUCGACCUGGUCCUUGGGCCAUCCGCAAGCGCGUCUUGGUAGUUAACUCAUCCGCUGGUUAGCGAAGAUUGCAAAAUGUUUACUAUUGCGAAACCCCAAAACUACAUGGUUGUGCUUAUUUGGAAGUGAGGUUACCAACAUACAUCUAUUUCUUUUGUUUUUUCA